rnacentral:pre_miRNA from 1 species
AAUGCCCAUAGCUGGGUUGUAUGUUAUUGCAUGUUUAGUAAGAUUCUGCCAUACUCUUUUCCAAAGUGGCUCUAACAUUCACAUUCCCACUAGCGAU